GGAUGAAUGCAUAGAGAAUGGGGGUCAGGGGCCAUGUGAGGGUGCAUGUGUGAACACCCCAGGCUGGUUUCACUGUGUUUGUCCAUAUGGAUACCAGCUAGCUGGGGACGGGAGAGCCUGCAUCUCAGAGUGUCCGCCUGGACACCGGAAACAACGCUUGGAUGCACCAGUAGGAAACUCAACUAUAGAACACUGUGUCGAUAUUGAUGAAUGUAAGGAGACAGAGGAGAACCAGCCAGACAGAUGUGAAUGGAAAUGUGUAAAUCUGCCAGGUACCCACCACUGCAUCUGUCCAAGGGGAUACACACAGCUUCCUGGUGGACAUCGCUGCAGGGAUGUUAACGAGUGCGCGCAGCAGAACGGGGGAUGCUCCCACACCUGUGUGAACCACAGAGGCGGCUACAAAUGUGCCUGUCCAAAAAAUUUCCACCUCUCUCCCUACAACAGAAGAACGUGCCAGGCAGUCCACAACUCACAAAGGACCGUUUCUUAACAUAGACAAGGUAUUCUUGUUCAUCAUUCAAUUCACUCAUAAACAGGAAAAAGGAAGCACUACUGUUUGUUUGUUUUUUAGUCUAUAAUCUUGACUUUUUGUACACAAGCUUCACAGCUGGAGAAUCUGAACAUUUACUACUAAAGACUCUGUGUCCCAUAUUAUACUGUUGCCAACUGGC